AGGGAAUAUUAGUAAUGGGCGAAAGCCUGAACUAGCAACGCCGCGUGUGCGAAGAAGGCCUUCGGGUUGUAAAGCACUUUUUGAGAGGAUGAGGAAGGACGGUACUCUCAGAAUAAGUCUCGGCUAACUACGUGCCAGCAGCCGCGGUAACACGUAGGAGGUGAACGUUAUCCGGAUUUACUGGGCGUAAAGCGCGUGUAGGUGGUUUGGUAAGUAGGGCGUGAAAGCUCCUGGCUCAACUGGGAGAGGCCGUUCUAAACUGCCGAACUAGAG
rnacentral:rRNA from 1 species